rnacentral:rRNA from 1 species
UACGUAGGGUGCGAGCGUUGUCCGGAAUUACUGGGCGUAAAGAGCUCGUAGGUGGUUUGUCGCGUUGUUCGUGAAAACUCACAGCUCAACUGUGGGCGUGCGGGCGAUACGGGCAGACUGGAGUACUGCAGGGGAGACUGGAAUUCCUGGUGUAGCGGUGAAAUGCGCAGAUAUCAGGAGGAACACCAGCGGCGAAGGCGGCGCUCUGGGCCGGUACUGACACUGAGGAGCGAAAGCGUGGGGAUCAAACAGG